AGUCCCGGGGUGUUAACACGUUAGAUUGCAAAUCUAAAGAAGCAGGUGGCAUCCCUGCCGGGGCUU
rnacentral:tRNA from 1 species